rnacentral:rRNA from 1 species
AUUGAACGCUGGCGGCAGGCCUAACACAUGCAAGUCGAGCGAGCGGCGGACGGGUGAGUAAUGUCUGGGAAACUGCCUGAUGGAGGGGGAUAACUACUGGAAACGGUAGCUAAUAUCGCACACCAUCAGAUGUGCCCCGAUGGGAUUAGCUAGUAGGGGGGGUAAUGGCCCACCUCGGCGACGAUCCCUAGCUGGUCUGUGAGGAUGACCAGCCCAACUGGACCUGAGACACGGUCCGGACUCCGACGGGAGGCAGCAGUGGGGAAUAUUGCACAAUGGGCACAAGCCUGAUGCAGCCAUGCCGCGUGUUUGAAGAAGGCCUUCGGGUUGUAAAGCACUUUCAGCGGGGAGGCGUUACCCGCAGAAGAAGCACCGGCUAACUCCGUGCCAGCAGCCGCGGUAAUUC